AAAUAAGUAAACCGCCCACGUCACUUCUCGGUUUCCUGACUCCUACUUGCAGUUCAUCACGAAAAGCAACAAGAUACCUCAACAUCUACGUACAAGCGUGUUCAGAAGUGCAACCAGAAAUUGCAACGGGUCACACAUACAUCACCAGCGACAUGAGAUCCUGUUGCACCACUGAGAAACUAGAAAGCAAGUCUUUGCAGACAGUAAAUAGCUGCCCUUAAAGACGUUUCCUGAUAUUGAAUCUUCUGGUCCAGCUGCCUGCUGGGUAAUACUCCACAGCUGAACUCUCGACUGCACUGCACUCACUCGCUGAACUGAACUCGGUUGGUCAAGUCAUAUAACCUCGGAGCAGACCCACAGAGAAUGUUCCCUGCAACACCUCAUCUACUGUUGCAUGAUGUCACUACACAUGUGUCUGCUGAGGGUGCUACACAGCAGAGGCCACUGUUUACACAGUCAUCACUUAGCAACAGGUCUAUACACCAAAGUAUUAUAAAACUGGAGAAAUAAAUUAAGCUGUUAUAGAGAGGAAAAAGUUGUAGCUCAUUUUUAAUACAAAUUUAACCAAGGCUCUAGUCAAGAUAGUGACAAUGGUGAUUUAAUGAUUGUUACUGUGGCUGUUUACUAUAUUGCUAACAAGAAUCUGUCCUCGAUGCACAGUAUUUUACGGUACAGACUCUACCACUAAUUACUCAACAUACCUUGCAAAUUAAGAUGAGCUGCCUCUUCCAUUUCUCCUGUUUUAAGAUAAAUACU